UCCUGUAGGUUUUCACUCCAACCCUGUUCCUGGAGAGAUACCCUCCUGUAGGUUUUAACUCCAACCCUGUUCAUGGAGAGAUACCCUCCUGUAGGUUUUAACUCCAACCCUGUUCAUGGAGAGAUACCCUCCUGUAGGUUUUAACUCCAACCCUGUUCCUGGAGAGAUACCCCUCCUGUAGGUUUUAACUCCAACCCUGUUCAUGGAGAGAUACCCUCCUGUAGGUUUUAACUCCAACCCUGUUCCUGGAGAGAUACCCCUCCUGUAGGUUUUAACUCCAGCCCUGUUCCUGGAGAGAUACCCUCCUGUAGGUUUUAACUCCAACCCUGUUCCUGGAGAGAUACCCC
rnacentral:lncRNA from 1 species